AGUGAACGCUGGCGGUAGGCCUAACACAUGCAAGUCGAACGGCAGCACAGUAAGAGCUUGCUCUUACGGGUGGCGAGUGGCGGACGGGUGAGGAAUACAUCGGAAUCUACUUUUUCGUGGGGGAUAACGUAGGGAAACUUACGCUAAUACCGCAUACGACCUACGGGUGAAAGCAGGGGAUCUUCGGACCUUGCGCGAUUGAAUGAGCCGAUGUCGGAUUAGCAAGUUGGCGGGGUAAAGGCCCACCAAGGCGACGAUCCGUAGCUGGUCUGAGAGGAUGAUCAGCCACACUGGAACUGAGACACGGUCCAGACUCCUACGGGAGGAAGCAGUGGGGAAUAUUGGACAAUGGGCGCAAGCCUGAUCCAGCCAUACCGCGUAGGUGAAGAAGGCCUUCGGGUUGUAAAGCCCUUUUGUUGGGAAAGAAAAGCAGCAGGUUAAUACCCCGCUGUUCUGACGGUACCCAAAGAAUAAGCACCGGCUAACUUCGUG
rnacentral:rRNA from 1 species